CGCCGCGGUAAUACGUAUGGGGCAAGCGUUGUCCGGAUUACUGGGCGUAAAGGGCGCGUAGGCGCGUUUGUUAAGUCGAAGGUGAAAUCCUCGGGCUCAACUCGAGAAUUGCCUUCGAUACUGGCAAACUAGAGUGGCGGAGAGGAAAGCGGAACUCUUGGUGUAACGGUGGAAUGUGUAGAUAUCAAGAGGAACACCGGUGGCGAAGGCGGCUUUCUGGACGCACACUGACGCUCAGGCGCGAAAGCGUGGGUAGCAAACAGGAUUAGAUACCCUGGUAGUCCACGCCAUAAACGAUGGGUACUAGGUGUCGGGGGUAUCGACCCCUCCGGUGCCGCAGUUAACGCACUAAGUACCCCGCCUGGGGAUUAUGGUCGCAAGGCUGAAACUCAAAGGAAUUGACGGGGCCCCGCACAAGCGGUGGAGCAUGUGGUUUAAUUCGACGCAACGCGAAGAACCUUACCUGGGCUUGACAUGCUUGGGACAGCGCUGGAAACAGCGUCUCUCCUUCGGGAGCCCUUGCACAGGUGCUGCAUGGCUGUCGUCAGCUCGUGUCGUGAGAUGUUGGGUUAAGUCCCGCAACGAGCGCAACCCUCGUUACUAGUUGCCAUCAGUUCGGCUGGGCACUCUAGUGAGACUGCCGGUGAUAAACCGGAGGAAGGUGAGGAUGAUGUCAAGUCAUCAUGGCCCUUACGCCCAGGGCUACACACGUGCUACAAUGGUCGGCACAAAGGGUCGCUAAGCCGCGAGGUGGAGCUAAUCCCAAAAAGCCGGCCUCAGUUCGGAUUGGAGUCUGCAACCCGACUCCAUGAAGGCGGAAUCGCUAGUAAUCGCGGA
rnacentral:rRNA from 1 species